GACGAACCGUCCAAACGUUAUUCGGAAUCACUGGGCUUACAGAGUUCGUAGGCGGUCUGGAAAGUUGGGUGUGAAAUCCCUCGGCCUAACCGAGGAACUGCGCUUGAAACUACCAGACUCGAGGGAGAUAGAGGAAAGCGGAACUGAUGGUGGAGCGGUGAAAUGCGUAGAUAUCGGAAGGAACACCAGUGGCGAAGGCGGAUGCCUGGCCCAAUACUGACGCUGAGGCACGAAAAGCGUGGGUAGCGAACAGG
rnacentral:rRNA from 1 species